AGCUAACGUAACAAAAUCUGGCAUUGAGAAAGACCUAAACCCUUUUUAUAGAGGUUCAAAUCCUCUCGUUAACU
rnacentral:tRNA from 2 species